UUUAUUUUAUAAAUAAUUAAAAAUAAAAUUAUUUUAAUAAUUUAUUUAUUAUUAGUAUUACUAGGAAUUAUUUUUUUAUAAGAGGGCUGUGAAGGUUUUAUUUUAAUCAUUAGGAAUUAUUUACUAGUACCUUUUGUAUCAGGGUAAAUUAAUUAAUUUAAUUAUUUUAUUUUCCCGAAUUUAAAAGGUCAAGUUUUAUAAUUAUAUAUUUGUGUCAAAAAAUUUUGUAAUAUAUUACUAGUAAUUAUAUGUUAUUCGUUUUUUGUUUAUCUGGUUAUUGAGGAUUAAAAUUUAAUUUUUCACUUUAAUAAUAUUUUAUAUUGUAUAUUAAUGUAUAUACUAUAGGUGUUAACUUAUUGGGGAUAAUCUCAUUGAGUAAAAAUUAUUACAUAUUUAUAAUUUUUGUUUUUUUACUUUUAAAUUUUGUAUUAAGUUUGUAUUAAAUUGGCUAUAAUUUUAUAUUAUUUUUUUGUGUAUAUUUUUAUACUUGAUUUUAUGGUUUAAUUUUUAAUUUAUUUUAAUAAUGAUUUAAUUAGUAUAAUAAAUUUUUUAGGGGUAAUGAAUUCGACAAAUAUUAUUUCCAACUGUUUAUCAAAAACAUUUCUUUUUGGUUAUAUAAAAAGUACCUUCUGCCCUAUGGUUUAAUUUUCUAAAUGGCUGCAGUAAUUUGACUGUGCAAAGGUAGCAUAGUAAUUAGUUUUUUAAUUGGAAGCUUGAAUGAAUGGAUGUAUGAGAAUUAUAUUUUAUUUCUUUAAAUGUUAAAAUUUAAAUUUAAAGUUAAAAUGCUUUAUUUAUUUAUUGGGACGAUAAGACCCUGUAGAACUUUAUAUGAAUUCCUAUUAUUAAUUUUUAUUAAUUAAAUUUUUUAAUUGGUUUAUUAAUAUUUUGCUGGGGAGGCAAUUAAAUUUAAACUUUAAUUUUUGAUUUCAUUUAUUUAUGUAAAUUUAGAUCCUUUUCUAAGGGUUACAAGAUUAAGUUACCUUAGGGAUAACAGCGUAAUUUUAAUGGGGAGUUCAUAUCUAUAUUAUAUUUUGCGACCUCGAUGUUGAAUUAAGAAAAUUUUGAGAAGUAGUAUUCUUUAAUAAUAAGUCUGUUCGACUUUUAAAUUCUUACAUGAUUUGAGUUCAAACCGGCGUGAGCCAGGUUGGUUUCUAUCUGAUAAUAUUUAUUUUGUUCUUAGUACGAAAGGACCAGUAUAAAUCACUAGGGUGAAUAGCUUUUAAU
rnacentral:rRNA from 1 species